CCUUGGAUCUCGUAGAGCCUCGUAUUAGGGAAGCGAUAUUACUAGGGGCAGGGUUAGGGCUAAGCUAAGAGCUAUGGGGGUAUGCUUCAUCUCAACACUGUUCUUGAACUUCAUAGAAAUGAAAACAUAAAUAUCAAGAUCUGAUGAUGAGGAAAACAGGUUUGAGGUUUGCCUGAAGGAGAGACACUUCUUGAACCUAAAGCAACUCCUCUUACUACAGUCCAAGCAUGCAGUUUAUCCUAGCAGAAGUUUCUAUUUACUGCAGUUGGAGCCAUUCUUGGACCUUCCUCCAUGACUCCUCCUGAACUUGUUUCCCUAAUUAGGACUCCAUUAGCUGUGAACUGGGUAGGAGAAAACAUCUGUCGGAAGACUUUAGCUCACAUUGGAACCA